GGGGGCGUAGCUCAGUUUGGUUAGAGCACCAGCCUGUCACGUUGGGGGUCGCGAGUUCGAUUCUCGUCGCUCCCGCCA
rnacentral:tRNA from 2 species